rnacentral:lncRNA from 1 species
GUUUGGAUUUAGUUUAGGUUCAAAAUAGCACGCACAGAUCCUGAGUGUUGUCAAGCACCUGUGACUGGGAAACGGAGGCGUCCGAUCCGUAUUGGAGUCAAUUCGCCACUUAAUUGAACACAGCCUCGAAGGGAAGGGCCAUAUUUGUGGGCCUGUCUAACAAUUAGAGUGACCACAUGGAAUGGGAAUGAAAGGGUUAAAGAAGAAUAAAUAUUGAAAACAGCUUUUCUAUGAACAAACUGCAGGCAGCUGCUGCUUUGCAAGAAAAACCCUUUGAAAAGACUCAGCAGGUUGCCAUGGAGAACGUCCCACUGAAGGAAUGCAUAGAAGUAGCAGGGGUAACUGAGUGCCUUCCAUCUUCCCUCCAAGGGAUCUGCAAUGUGAUGGGAGAAGGCAACAGGCUGUGUGGGAACCACUGAAGCUGGGAUGGCAGGGAAAGAACAUCUUAGGUUAACUCUUCAAGCCUUGCUGCCACAUUUGCUUUUGUGUGUAUGGUGUCAGCUGCCUACCAGUUGCUUUCAUCUCUAGAAAUCUGUGACUUGCAGUAUGACAAGAACAAAAGGUGACAGACAAUACAAAGGACAAAGGGCAAGGCAUACAGACGGAGAAGCCGCUUAGAGUCUAGGGUGGCAGAGGUUCUCUUGAUCAUUUCACUAUUGAGCGCUCAUAGAGCUUUGGUGUACCACAGAGGUGCUUGAACAGCUUACCACAUCAUAGAUGACUGGCCUUUAGAUUUCUCCUAAGAAAAUGUGGCUACAUGAAAUUCAACUCCAUUUUCUGGUCUUCAGUAUUUCUUUUGUGUUCAGUUUGCCAGCUGAGGACAAGUGGCUAAGCAUAGCCUGUUACUGAUGCUAAAGCCCAAGUUCUGAACCUAACAACUCCAGCAACAAGAUCCUGUUUCAAGAGACAAAAAAGUGACCAAUGAAAGAAAACAAUUGAUAUGCUAUGUAGAGUUUAAAAGAAGAUAGAGAAUACGUUAAUUAAAAGCAGCAACUCUC